rnacentral:rRNA from 1 species
UACGAAGGGGGCUAGCGUUGUUCGGAAUUACUGGGCGUAAAGCGCACGUAGGCGGAUAUUUAAGUCAGGGGUGAAAUCCCGGGGCUCAACCCCGGAACUGCCUUUGAUACUGGGUAUCUUGAGUGUGGUAGAGGUGAGUGGAAUUGCGAGUGUAGAGGUGAAAUUCGUAGAUAUUCGCAGGAACACCAGUGGCGAAGGCGGCUUACUGGUCCAUAACUGACGCUGAGGUGCGAAAGCGUGGGGAGCAAACAGG